rnacentral:rRNA from 1 species
UACGGAGGGUGCAAGCGUUAAUCGGAAUUACUGGGCGUAAAGCGUGCGCAGGCGGCGCGUUAAGACAGGUGUGAAAGCCCCGAGCUUAACUUGGGAAUUGCGCUUGUGACUGGCGUGCUGGAGUGUGGCAGAGGGAGGUGGAAUUCCACGUGUAGCAGUGAAAUGCGUAGAGAUGUGGAGGAACACCGAUGGCGAAGGCAGCCUCCUGGGCCAACACUGACGCUCAUGCACGAAAGCGUGGGGAGCAAACAGG